rnacentral:rRNA from 1 species
UACGUAGGGCGCAAGCGUUAUCCGGAAUUAUUGGGCGUAAAGAGCUCGUAGGCGGUUUGUCGCGUCUGCUGUGAAAGACCGGGGCUCAACUCCGGUUCUGCAGUGGGUACGGGCAGACUAGAGUGCAGUAGGGGAGACUGGAAUUCCUGGUGUAGCGGUGAAAUGCGCAGAUAUCAGGAGGAACACCGAUGGCGAAGGCGGGUCUCUGGGCCGAUACUGACGCUGAGGAGCGAAAGCGUGGGGAGCGAACAGG